GAUGAACGCUGGCGGCGUGCCUAAUACAUGCAAGUAGAACGCUGAAGGACGGAGCUUGCUCUUUUCGGGUGAGUUGCGAACGGGUGAGUAACGCGUAGGUAACCUGCCUGGUAGCGGGGGAUCACUAUAAGAAACGCUAGCUAAUACCGCAUAACAGUAGAUGUGGCAUGAUUUCUACUUAAAAGGUGCAAUUGCACCACUACCAGACGGACCUGCGUUGUAUUAGCUAGUUGGUGAGGUAACGGCUCACCAAGGCGACGAUACAUAGCCUACCGGAGAGGGUGGUCGGCCGCACUGGGAGGGAGACACGGCCCAGACUCCUGCGGGAGGCAGCAGUAGGGAAUCUUCGGCAAUGGACGGAAGUCUGACCGAGCGACGCCGCGUGAGUGAAGAAGGUUUUCGGAUCGGAAAGCUCUGUUUUAAGAGAAGAACGAGUGUGAGAGUGGAAAGUUCACUCUGUGACGGUAUCUUAGCAGAAAGGGACGGCUAACUACGUG
rnacentral:rRNA from 1 species